GUGCUCUUUUCAACAGCACCUAACACUAACAUUGGAACAAUUCUGAGUAGAUCCGGAUGGUGCCAGGGCAAGGGUGGCAGGCACAUUCAUGAAGCAUCCCAGAUUUAA
ensembl:snRNA U6 U6 spliceosomal RNA